UACGAAGGGGGCUAGCGUUGCUCGGAAUUACUGGGCGUAAAGCGCACGUAGGCGGUCUUUUAAGUCGGGGGUGAAAUCCUGGAGCUCAACUCCAGAACUGCCUUCGAUACUGGAAGACUUGAGUCCGGGAGAGGUGAGUGGAACUGCGAGUGUAGAGGUGUAAUUCGUAGAUAUUCGCAAGAACACCAGUGGCGAAGGCGGCUCACUGGUCCGGUACUGACGCUGAGGUGCGAAAGCGUGGGGAGCAAACAGG
rnacentral:rRNA from 1 species